UGGAAGUAAAAGUCGUAACAAGGUUUCCGUAGGUGAACCUGCGGAAGGAUCAUUACCAAUUCAACGGUGUGGUCGCGGCCUCCGGGGGCUCCCCCCGGGCGGUAGAGGUAACACUCUUACGCGCCACAUGUCUGAAUCCUUUUUUUACGAGCACCUUUCGUUCUCCUUCGGUGGGGCAACCUGCCGUUGGAACUUAUCAAAACCUUUUUUGCAUCUAGCAUUACCUGUUCAGAUACAAACAAUCGUUACAACUUUCAACAAUGGAUCUCUUGGCUCUGGCAUCGAUGAAGAACGCAGCGAAAUGCGAUAAGUAGUGUGAAUUGCAGAAUUCAGUGAAUCAUCGAAUCUUUGAACGCACAUUGCGCCCCUUGGUAUUCCAUGGGGCAUGCCUGUUCGAGCGUCAUCUACACCCUCAAGCUCUGCUUGGUGUUGGGCGUCUGUCCCGCCUCUGCGCGUGGACUCGCCCCAAAUUCAUUGGCAGCGGUCUUUGCCUCCUCUCGCGCAGCACAUUGCGCUUUAGAGGGGUGUGGGCCGCGUCCACGAAGCAACAUUAUCGUCUUUGACCUCGGAUCAGGUAGGGAUACCCGCUGAACUUAAGCAUAUCAAUAAGCGGAGGA
rnacentral:rRNA from 1 species